GUUGACUGGUUGACUUUUCUGGUUGACUAGUUGACUUUUCAGCAUAUCUUCAACCUGUAUUUCCUUUUCUUGAGUCUAAGACCUUCAUCUUCAACUUCAUUCUUUACUUUUCUCAAAUUAGCUACAAAACUAUGCAAAACAAGCAUAAAAUCGCUAAAAACAGCUUUUGACUCUCUCCAGACUCAUUUAUUGAGUUUUGCUUGAUUCUAAGCUCAUUCCGAGUAGUAAAGGGUGUAAUUUGGUCCAAAUUGACAUAUGAAAAUAAUUGUUUUCAACCUUCAUCAACACCCCAAACUUAGAAUUUUGCUUGUCCUCAAGCAAAACAAAACAAAACAACACACAAAACAAAACUUGGCUUUAUACUGUUUCAUCCAAUGUCUCAACAAUCCCAAGGUACAUGAGAAAACCACUCAAUUCAAUAUCCUCAGUGAAAUCCAAAAUAAGAUGCAUGCAUGCUUUCAAUCCAGAGGUUGCACAAUAGAUGUUAUACACUAUGAAUGAUCAAUCCACUAAGCAAAAAUGUACUCAUGAAAAUUAAGAAAUCAUACCAAGCAAGUGUUUCACUCAAUCACUCAAGUGUUUAAGGUGACACUCCCACUCUCUAUUGUUCACAAGUCACAUGAAACAAAAUUGCCAUUCAUCUCAAACAAUCAAUAUCCUUACAUGCAAAUGUCAUCAAAAGGACUUCUCCAAUGCUUGUAAUGAGGUUGGGCUAACAAGAAAAAUUGGUUUUUCUAGAAUGCAAAAUCCUUGAGUCAAGAGAACUAUCAAAAUAUUCAACAAUUAAGCACAACUCUCUCACCAAAAUUUCUCAUUCCCAACUUCUUCCGUUUUCUUUUCUUUUUCAUUAAGCUCAUCUUCAUGUUUUUCUUCUUUUCUUUUCUUUUUCUCAUGAAUUUUUCUCUUUUUACAACAAUUGAGCUCAAUGCCUUUUACUUGCUUUUUCAAUUUUCCCNCGUACAACCCCAAACUUGAACCUUUUCAUCACUUACAAAUAAGCUCAUCCCAACUCAAGGUAAAGAAUUUCAAGACAAGGGUUCACAUCCUGUUUAAGGCUGAGGUUCAAAAAGGGUAAAAUAUUUCAAGCACUUUGGGUGAAAAUUUGGCUAGAGAAGGGUUUUCAAAAAUGGCCUUGAUCAUAUGACAUUCACAUGCAAUUCANUCGAUCAUCAAGAUUAAGGCAAUAUCAUCCAUGUUUUCCUGUGAACAGUACAUGCAACAAUAAAAACUCUGGAGCUCAAAAUCUCACACACAUGCUUCCUCACACAAAAUUCAUUCAUACAUCAUGCCUAGCAUCAUGACCACAAUCAUAAAUUCAUCACCCAUCUAUUUCCUGGAUAUCAUCAUGCAUUGCAACUCAAUUCUCAUCCGCAUUAAAUAAUCAUCAAAUAGAUCCAUCCUGCAAAUUAGUUUAGCCAAACAUUUUCAGAACAAGUAAUAAAGCCAAGAAUACACACCAAACUUAAAAUUCAACCUAUUCUAGGAAUUUAAAAUGCAAAAGUGUAAGAAGAAAUCUAGGUUGCCUCCUAGUAGCGCUUGUUUAACAUCAUGAGCCUGACCCAAACCUGGUUGGCACUUGUCAGUAAGUGCACUACCUUCCACCACCCAUCAGUAGGUGUACCUUCCGAAUAUCCUUCAGUGGAUACCUAUAUCUUCUAACAUCCCCCAGUAGAUGCUAUCCCGGUAGAAUUCAUCAGUAAAUGCUAAUCUUUCUAAUCUUCAUUGGCAUCCAUCAGUAAAUGCCAUAUCACCUAACAUCCAUCAGUAGAUGUAGAAGCAUCCAUUAGUAGAUGCUAUCAUCACUGCCAUCAGAAGUAACGCAUAACCCAAAAAAAAAAAUCAAAUAAAAUCAAAUAAAAGAAAAUAAAAUAAAAAAAUCAAAUAAAAGAAAAUAAAAUAGAAAUAAAAUAAAAUAAAAUCAAAUAAAAUAAAAUAAAAUAAAAUCAAAACGAAAUGGAAGAUAAAAAAAAAUCAGAAACUAGGUUGCCUCCCAGCAAGCGCUCUUUUAACGUCAUUAGCUUGACCCGGUAAAGCCUAAACACCCAUCAGUAGGUGUUGAAAUUUUAUGUUGGUGCUCCUCCUUCCUUCAUGACACCAACAACAUCUCGGAAAUUCCCUUUGUCACCAACUGUAAGAGCUCUGUUUGCUUUGAUAGUCUUGACAACCCAUAAACUAAUUUUGAAUUUCAUUGAUGUGUCAGGUUAGGGUUUGUCACUUUUCACAUCAGGGUGUUGGUGAACCAAUUCUCCUUCCUUAUCUGCCUCCUGAUGAUCUUGUGCUCCUAGUACCAAAAAUUUUAUCCUGCAUACACUAAAGAACACUGCACUAGAGUACAGAAUUAACCCAAAAAUAAAAAUAGUAAAAGAUAAUUUUUAUUUUUAUUUUAAUUUUAAUUUUCGAUCUUUUUUAGAAAAGAUAAAGGGGAAAAUAAAUAAAUAAAAAAAAUAAAUAAAAAGAUAAAAAGAAAAAUAAAUAGAAAGAUAGAAAGGUAGAAAGAUGGAAAGAUAAGGAAAAGGAUGAGGGAAAGAAUGUGGAGAAGAAUAAGGAGAAGAAUAUGGAAAGAUAUUAUUUUAUUUUAUUUUCGUUUUUUUUUAAAUAAAAAUAAAAUAAAAUAAAAAAAUAAAACAAAAUCAAAUCAAAUCAAAUCAAAUCCAAUCAAAUAAAAUAAAAUAAAAUAAAAUCCAAUCCAAUCCAAUCAAAUCAAAUCAAAUCAAAUCAAAUAAAAUCAAAUCAAAUCAAAUCCAAUCAAAUCAAAUAAAAUUAAAUAAAAUCAAAUAAAAUCAAAUCAAAUAAAAAAAAGAUAAAAUCAAAUAAAAUCAAAUAAUACAAAUAAAAUAAAAAAGAAAGUCUAAUCGAUCAAGAAUCGCACACAUAGAAUAGUUCUACCAUGAGUCCCGGGCAACGCGCCAAAAACUUGUUGACAAAUUGGAAAGUGUACCAAAUCGUUCAAGUAAUAAUAAAAUGGUAAGUCCAAGUAUCGUUUUCCUAAGAGACUAACGACACUAAACUGUUGUGCUUUUGCUUAACCAAUCAAGACUAUAAAAAUAAUAUUUUGGGAUUUUUAUAAAGUGCAGAAAAAUAAACAUGAAUGCAAUUUGAUCAAUUGAGGUUAAACACAAAACCAUGAAUGAAUCAAUGUUGUUGGGGGUUUACAAUUUCAUCUAUUCCGCUCUCUCUUACAUACUACCCUUGAAUAUUAGAUUGAUUCAAUUGUUAUGUGACUUUCUUAGCCUUCCCUUAACCCGAUCCCUCGGCGAAAAGGGCCUAAUAUUAACUACUGGCCUUCUAUCCCUAGCCUCCCCUAGUAAUUAAUACCGCAUUAUAAACAGAAGUUAGCGCAAUUGAUCGUCCUACCCC
rnacentral:lncRNA from 1 species